AUGAGCGUUGAGUGGGAGCAGAAGUCCCCUCUGGUGACUGUUAGAGCCCUCCACAUAAGUACUUUCGACGAUACUUCUCUUGUUUUGGACUCCAGUGAGGCUCCUCAUUUGUGUAACAGAGCUGCUUUAUCUUUCGAAACAUCUUGCUUUAAAAGGGAAGUGACAAGAGCGGGAGACCAUGGUGUGGUGGCAGAAUUAUAUCGAGACCAGUAUGGUGUAUUCCAAGGUUCUUCAGCAGUAUUGUACACUUACAUUGUCGAUCCAACGACGCAGGAAGCUUUGGCAGUCCGGGAGGCCCUAGCCUUGGCUGAUGAUCGGUACCUCCGAAGGAUAACAAUGGCAUCGGGUUGUAAGGUGGUGGUGGACGCAAUCAAGCAUGGGAGUGCACAUACUUAUGGUGCUGUUUUACAUGAAAUGUCGCUUAGUUCGUCUUCUUUUAAUUCAUGUACUUUUAGUCAUGAGUUUCGGACCUCGAAUGUCGAGGCUGAUCGUCUUGCAAAGCAUGCUUUAGCACUAGGAAAUGGUUGUCAUGUCUGGCUUGCAAUCCCUGAGGAGCUGAACUUCGUCCCUGUAAUGGUGACGGUCCAGAAGGAGGCGGACGAAUUCUUGGGUAAGAUGCUGUCCUGUGGCAAGAAAAGAAACCUUACAUUAUUUUCAGAUAGUAGAGAUUUACGGGGCCAUGGCCACAUAUGCAUGCCCCCACGCUGGAUAGGCCAGGAGCCUGCUUCCCAAGCCAGCCUCGACGUGCAUGUCUGUUGCCGGCGGAAAGCAUCGAUCGGCGCCCAGCCAGCCUGUGCACGUGCCAGAUCGCCAGAAAGAAGUGACCGGCGGUCCGGGCCAGUGCCAACAGCAGACAGCCACACGCGCGAUGCCAACGAGUACAGCUACCUCGAUAGCUAUAGCUCCGUGGAGCUCAUGGUUGUGCAUGUACAACAACGCUAG
rnacentral:rRNA from 1 species